rnacentral:RNase_P_RNA from 2 species
GCCGCCUGGGGCUCUGCACCAGCAGUGCUUGCAGCCUUCCGUGAUGGGCAGGAGGUGAGUUCCCAGAGAGCAGGGCUCUACCAGUGGGCUGAUUGGGCAGGAGAAGCCCUGAGAGGGCGCAUUCCUUCCUCACCAGAGCUUGGAACAGAUUCAUGGC